AACGUGCCCAGUAAUGGGGGAUAGCCCGGCGAAAGCCGGAUUAAUACCGCAUACGACCCACGGGUGAAAGCGGGGGAUCGCAAGACCUCGCGUUAUUGGAGCGGCCGAUAUCAGAUUAGCUUGUUGGUGGGGUAAAAGCCUACCAAGGCGACGAUCUGUAGCUGGUCUGAGAGGACGACCAGCCACACUGGGACUGAGACACGGCCCAGACUCCUACGGGAGGCAGCAGUGGGGAAUUUUGGACAAUGGGCGCAAGCCUGAUCCAGCCAUGCCGCGUGUGG
rnacentral:rRNA from 1 species